rnacentral:rRNA from 1 species
UCCGAUUCCUACGGGAGGCAGCAGUGGGGAAUCUUGCACAAUGGGCGAAAGCCUGAUGCAGCGACGCCGCGUGGGGGAUGAAGCUUUUCGGAGUGUAAACCCCUUUCGACCCGGACGAAUGCCUCGCAAGAGGACUGACGGUACGGGUGUAAGAAGCCCCGGCUAACUACGUGCCAGCAGCCGCGGUAAGACGUAGGGGGCCAGCGUUGCUCGGAAUUACUGGGUGUAAAGGGUUCGUAGGCGGUGCGGCAAGUUGGGAGUGAAAUCUCUGGGCUCAACCCAGAGGCUGCUUCCAAAACUGCUGUGCUUGAGUGUGGGAGAGGCGCGUGGAAUUGCAGGUGUAGCGGUGAAAUGCGUAGAUAUCUGCAGGAACACCCGUGGCGAAAGCGGCGCGCUGGACCACAACUGACGCUGAGGAACGAAAGCUAGGGGAGCAAACAGGAUUAGAUACCCUGGUAGUCCUAGCCCUAAACGAUCAGGACUUGGGGUGCUUCACGUUCGUGGAGCGUCCCGGAGCUAACGCGUUAAGUCCUGCACCUGGGGAGUACGGUCGCAAGACUGAAACUCAAAGGAAUUGACGGGGGCCCGCACAAGCGGUGGAACAUGUGGUUCAAUUCGACGCUACGCGAGGAACCUUACCUGGGCUCGAAGCGCACUUGACUAGCUAUAGAAAUAUGGCCUUCCCGCAAGGGACAAGUGUGGAGGCGCUGCAUGGCUGUCGUCAGCUCGUGCCGUGAGGUGUUGGGUUAAGUCCCGCAACGAGCGCAACCCCUGCACGUAGUUGCCACUCCGCAAGGAGGGAACUCUACGUGGACUGCUCCGGAUAACGGAGAGGAAGGUGGGGAUGACGUCAAGUCCGCAUGGCCUUUAUGUCCAGGGCUACACACGUGUUACAAUGCAGGGCACAAACCGUUGCCAACCCGUGAGGGGGAGCUAAUCGGAAAAAACUCUGCUCAGUUCGGAUUGCAGUCUGCAACUCGACUGCAUGAAGCCGGAAUCGCUAGUAAUGGCGUAUCAGAUCGACGCCGUGAAUACGUUCCCGGGCCUUGUACACA